UACAGAGGGGGCAAGCGUUGUUCGGAAUUACUGGGCGUAAAGGGCGCGUAGGCGGCCUGCUAAGUCGAACGUGAAAUCCCUGGGCUCAACCCAGGAACUGCGUCCGAUACUGGUUGGCUUGAAUCCGGGAGAGGGAUGUGGAAUUCCAGGUGUAGCGGUGAAAUGCGUAGAUAUCUGGAGGAACACCGGUGGCGAAGGCGGCAUCCUGGACCGACACUGACGCUGAGGCGCGAAAGCUAGGGUAGCAAACGGG
rnacentral:rRNA from 1 species